AUACUUACCUGGACGGGGUCUAUGGGCGAUCAUGUAGGUCCAUGGCCUAGGUUGGUGACUUUCAUUGCACUUUGGAGGGGUGCCCGCCUAAGAUCAGCCCAAGAGGUUGAGUCUACAUCAUAAUUUGUUGCUGAGGGGGCAUGCGUUCGCGCAGCCCCUGC
rnacentral:snRNA from 15 species